CGAAUGCUGACAUAAGUAACGAUAAAGCGGGUGAAAAGCCCGCUCGCCGGAAGACCAAGGGUUCCUGUCCAACGUUAAUCGGGGCAGGGUGAGUCGACCCCUAAGGCGAGGCCGAAAGGCGUAGUCGAUGGGAAACAGGUUAAUAUUCCUGUACUUGGUGUUACUGCGAAGGGGGGACGGAGAAGGCUAUGUUGGCCGGGCGACGGUUGUCCCGGUUUAAGCGUGUAGGCUGGUUUUCCAGGCAAAUCCGGAAAAUCAAGGCUGAGGCGUGAUGACGAGGCACUACGGUGCUGAAGCAACAAAUGCCCUGCUUCCAGGAAAAGCCUCUAAGCAUCAGGUAACAUCAAAUCGUACCCCAAACCGACACAGGUGGUCAGGUAGAGAAUACCAAGGCGCUUGAGAGAACUCGGGUGAAGGAACUAGGCAAAAUGGUGCCGUAACUUCGGGAGAAGGCACGCUGAUAUGUAGGUGAAGUCCCUCGCGGAUGGAGCUGAAAUCAGUCGAAGAUACCAGCUGGCUGCAACUGUUUAUUAAAAACACAGCACUGUGCAAACACGAAAGUGGACGUAUACGGUGUGACGCCUGCCC
rnacentral:rRNA from 1 species